AGUUGACAACAUUCACAUGUGCUAUACAGUGGUUCUAAACCUUUCCAAACUGCUGUACCCAUUUCAGGAGUCUGAUUUGUCUUGCAUAGCCCAAGUUUCACCUUACUUAAAAACUACUUGCUUACAAAAUCUGACAUAAAAUAUGAAAUUAUCACAGCGCUCUAUUACCAA